CUCCUUCCAUCUUGUGGCUCUCUCUCCCCUCCCCAGGGCCUUGUAGUUUUGAGCAUCCUGCCAACAGACAGGAGAAGAGGACAAAGAGGGCCACCUGCUCUUUAGGUGGCUUUUCCAGGAAAAUGUCACUUCUGCCUAUAUUCCAUUGUUGCUUCCAGAUCCCUGAGCUGCCAUAUGAGAAGCCUGACAACUCAGCUGGUGACAGCACAAGAGGAGGCCUGAGACAACCUGGAGAAGGCAAGAAGGAAAGCUGAGCCCAGCCCUCCAGCCAUCCCCACCAGAGCCCAGACCUUCCAAUCCACAACCAUUAAUCAGCUGAAAACCAUCAGGUGAUUCCAUUUAAUGCUUCAUGGAGCAGAAGAGUCACUUAGACAAGUCCUGCCCAAAUUUCUGAUCCACAAACUUGUGAGAUAUAAUAAAAUGGUUGUUGUUUUGAGUCA